rnacentral:rRNA from 1 species
ACGCUCGACACCUACGGAGGCAGCAGUGGGGAAUAUUGCACAAUGGAGGAAACUCUGAUGCAGCGAUGCCGCGUGAGGGAAGAAGGUUUUCGGAUUGUAAACCUCUGUCUUUGGGGACGAUAAUGACGGUACCCAAGGAGGAAGCUCCGGCUAACUACGUGCUAGCAGCCGCGGUAAUCUGAGCGGGCUGGCAAGGC